CACGAAAACGGUAAAAUCUCUUUUCCGUCUUACUUUUUAAUUUCUUUUAGUUUUACAGGUACAAAUCCAUUAAUGGGAUUUGUCUCUACCCAUUUGAAUCUCGAUCUCUCAUUGGCUCAUCAAGGUUCAACUGGAUUGAUCGGUAAAAGGGUAAAUCUAACCCUUCAUAUAUCGAUUACCUUGAAUCCUAGCCAUUGCAUGUUGAUAUAGAGGAGAAUUUCUCAGAUUUUGAGAAGUCCCACAUCGUUUAGAUAUUAGGGUUUCUCAGAUUUGGGGUUCUAUAAAUAGAACCCCCAAAUUUACAUUUUUGAAGGGACCGAACUCAGAUAUUCACAUAAAAACUCGAAGCACUUAAGUUUUUUUUGCAUAUUUUCUUUUAAACUUUAAUUUUCCUGAGUUAAGUUAAAAUUUCUUAAAUAUUUUCUCUUUUGUUCGUGUGGCUGAGUUGUGGGUGAAGGUGUUUGAAGAAUCUUCAAGUCCAAUACUCGAUUGAGGCUGCACAAGAGAAAGGCAACAUAUUUACCCUUCUUCUUUAUUAAUUUAUUUGAGGCGCAACACUUUUCUUUGAUUGAGUCCGAGAGAUAGAAAGGGAAGCAAAUAUGAUGAAGGCCCAUCCAUGGGUGAAAAUGGAGGCUGGCGGGUUUGGUAGGCCCACCAGCUUAAUUUUCUUCCUUUUCAUUUAUGUUUAUAUGUUAUCUAUGUAUAUGCAUUAUAUAUGUAAACAAACUAUGUGAAAUAUUGAAACCCUUAUAUAUGUUAGAA